rnacentral:tRNA from 1 species
UAUAUCUUAGUGUAGAAGCACAUAAAGUUUUGAUCUUUAGAGAAAUGGUGUAAUUCCAUUAGAUAUAG